AACGCACCUUGCGCUCCUUGGUAUUCCGAGGAGCAUGCCUGUUUGAGUGUCAUUAAUAUAUCAAUCUCUUCAGCUUUUGCUUGUUGAGUAUUGGAUGUGGGGGUAUAUUGUUUGUUGGCCUUUUCUUCUGAGGUCAGCUCCCCUGAAAUGUAUUAGCGGAACAAUUUGUUGACCGUUCAUUGGUGUGAUAAAAACUAUCUACGCUAUUGACGUGAAGCAGGUUCUGCUUCUAACAGUCCAUUGACUUGGACAACUCUUCAUUAAUGUGACCUCAAAUCAGGUAGGACUACCCGCUGAACUUAA
rnacentral:misc_RNA from 1 species